CUCCUGAGUAGCUGGGACUACAGGCGCCCGCCAUUGCGCCCAGCUAAUUUUUUUGUAUUUUUAAUAGAGACGGGGUUUCACCGUUUUAGCCAGGAUGGUCUCCAUCUCCUGACCUUGUGAUCCGCCCUCCUCGGCCUCUCAGAGUGCUGGGAUUACAGGUGUGAGCCACCGCGCCAGACCUAUUGGUUUCUUUUUUUGACACGGAAUCUCACUCUGUCACCCAGGGUGGAGUGCAGUGAUGCAACGUCUCCUUCCAGGGUUCAAGCAGUUCUCCUGCCUCAGGCUCCUAAGUAGCUGGGAUUACAGAAAACUCCUGAGUUCUCCCUGAAAGGAGACUAAAGAACAAUCCUCUCCAGAUGUGUCUGAAUCCUAAAAUGAAUUUUCAAGGAUACAUGUGCAGAACGUGCUGAUUAGAUUUUUGCCAGUGAAGAAUGACA
rnacentral:lncRNA from 1 species